UUCUUCUUCUCUUGAACUCUAAGUGGAGGCUACCAUCUUUUGGAGGCCACCUACCUGAGUUCUUCUAGUCAUUUUCCAGCCUUAGAACAUUUUGUGCCACUUGAUUCCUUGAUUUCCCGAGCUUUGUUAGGACACUUAAUCAAGGAUACUUGCAACCUCAAGUUCUACUAUGUGAUAAUUGUUGAUUGCUUCUACACAUAGGAUGGACACGGGCUUUAGUGACUUAAAACUUGAAAGACAAUUGUUGUAAUUAUUUGGUUUGUAUCAAAACAAUGAGUCAAUUAAAGAAAUAAAACAAAACUUCAAUUACCAUGUGUUGUGAAACAAUGAUUCUGUUACGACCCUCCCCGACUUUUCCGCCGCGGUUUGUUGUAUUACGCGGUCGGGGUGUGACAUGAUUUAUCCUAGGUUUGGGGAAAAUUAG
rnacentral:lncRNA from 1 species